UUUUUCUCCCUUUGGAAGACCUUCCUUAUAAUGUUACAAAACUGUUCUCAAAUGCAGUCUAAAAUGUUACGCUUUUUAGAAAUGCUUAGUUUUUUUUUAAUCCAUCACAAGACAGGUAUCUAACAUUUUUUUUCUUUCAGAGGGAUAUCCCAUUUUCCCAAGACUUAAAAUGCCACCUUUAUCAUUUAUGAAAUUCCCACAUAGACUCACAUAUUUUUCUACCCUCUUUCCUUUUCCAUUGGUCUAUUUAUUUAUUACAGUGUCAUUAUUGCUUUGAUUAGAGCAGCUGUUGGCUGCAUUUGCCUUUUAAAAGAAUGUUUCACCACCACUUGUCUUCUUGUUCAAAAAUUUCUUGACAAUUCUUCUGCAAAAUUUUAUUAAGGAUUGCAACAUCCUUGUUAACUUCUUUGCCCAUCCUUUUACCUUUAAAUUAAUGGUGACAGGAAAAAUCUGUAGGACCUUGGAGAUACCAGUAAAUAGAGACUGAGUGACAAAGUGAAAAAAAUCUAACAAAGGAGAAACCUGUAUUCCAUAGGUAUUGGCGAGUGGUAGUCUGGGCAGCUUGUAUCACAGGGGAAGUUAACACACAGAACCCCCAUCUUUUGCUUACCUUCUCUAUUCACCUUUAGGCCUGAAAAGACUAAUUUUGGAGAAUAUGUGUUGACUGUUCCAACUGUAAGCAUGCUUCCUGCCCUCCCUCCAGGCUGCCCAGCGGUGCCACUGCUGCAAAUCCAGGGGUUGCUGAGAGGACGGACUGCUCACGGACAGCCGCUGAGGUGCAGAACCCACCGGCGGGGGACAGGGUCACUGCCACCUGCCACCCAUGAACGAAGAGGUGGCUGGAAGUUGCUGUGAAAGGUGAACAUAUUUGCACGAGAGUCAUACUGUCCUUUUCCCCUCCGUGAAACUGGUCUUGUUCUCUGUUUUAUUAAUUUAUUUAUCCUCUGUGCUCAGUAUGUGCAUCUGUCACACAGCAGUGGCUGAAAAAGUGCUGGGUGCGGGAUGACUUGGUGGCCUGUGGAGUGGCCUGUGUCACCUCCUCCUCUCCCCAUCAUCCAUGCUCCUCCAGUCACACUGGCCUCCUGUGGUUCCUUGAACGCAGCAGCCACUUUCCUGCCAUGGGCCUUUAGCUGGCCUCCCUUUCCUAGGGUUUUGGUACUGGAAGCCUGACAUCCUAGGAAGCCCUUCAGUCCUGGGAAGGCAGAGGCAGUUGGUCACCCUGCAUGUCUCCAGAACACUUUCUUCCAAGACACCAACCAGCAAACUCCACCCCUAUCAGGCCUUUUGCCAAAUCUUCCCUUCUCAGUGAGGCUCACUGCAUCCAUCCUUAACACUCCCCACCCCCUGUUUUACUUAUUUAUUGUUUUAAUAACGUUUGCCACCUUCUUGCGUACUUUGUUCUUUAUAUAUUUAUUGCUUAUUGUUUAUCUGUUGCCACUAGAAUUAAGUACCAUGAGGGCAGGGAUAUGUGUCUUUUUUGUUUCCUGAUUUAUCCCAAAUGCCUAGGACAGUGCCUGGCAUGUAGUAGAUAAUAAACAUAGGAUGGAUGGAUGAAUGACAGUUCAUAUAUUCUGUGCACAUUUUACUAGAUAUUAUCGGUGGGUUGGGGGAUUUAAAAAAGCAUGAACUAUAUAGUCCCUGCCUUCACACAAUGUAUAAUUUAGUAGCAGAAAUAUAGCGAGAAGAGGCAGCCAAACUUUUCCCAUCUGAAAAAGAUUCAUGACCCACCUUGGUUGGAUCUCAACAGUAUUAUAUGCCUGAUUCCACAUCUCUGUCUCCAGCUCUGUGUUCAAGCUUCAGCCCCAUCCACCACUGCCUACCAACUUCUCCCUCGUCCCAUAGUCCAACAGACUGAACCACCAGCAAUUCCUAACACACACUGCUUCCUGUUUUUGCUGUUUCAUUGAUCACACUACCACCUGGCUAGUCAAGCUAGAAAUCUACUUUUUUCUCACCUCUCAUAUUCACCAAGUCUUAUUAAUUCU
ensembl:lncRNA